GCCUUCUUAGCUCAGUGGUAGAGCGUUGCACUUGUAUAAUCGUCAAUCAUUGCCUCAUGAUUACAAUGCAAAGGUCAGUCGUUCAAUCCGGCUAGGAGGCA